rnacentral:rRNA from 1 species
CCUACGUGUGGCAGCAGUCGAGAAUCAUUCACAAUGGGCGAAACCCUGAUGGUGCGACGCCGCGUGGGGGAAUGAAGGUCUUCGGAUUGUAAACCCCUGUCAUGUGGGAGCAAAUUAAAAAGAUAGUACCACAAGAGGAAGAGACGGCUAACUCUGUUCCAGCAGCCGCGGUAAUACAGAGGUCUCAAGCGGUGUUCGGAAUCACUGGGCGUAAAGCGUGCGUAGGCUGUUUCGUAAGUAGUGUGUGAAAGGCGCGGGCUCAACCCGCGGACGGCACAUGAGACUGCGAGACUAGAGUGAUGGAGGGGGAACCGGAAUUCUCGGUGUAGCAGUGAAAUGCGUAGAUAUCGAGAGGAACACUCGUGGCGAAGGCGGGUUCCUGGACAUUAACUGACGCUGAGGCACGAAGGCCAGGGGAGCGAAAGGGAUUAGAUACCCGGGUAGUC